rnacentral:lncRNA from 1 species
CAGUUAUCUCACAUCCAAAGAAGAGAUGUUGAAUGAUCUCCUUUUCUUUAGUACAGAAAGGGCAGAGUAAAUCAGUGGUAGUUCCCCCAUUGAGCAAUUCUGUCUUUGGUGGCCAAUCUUUCAUAUAUAGCUAGCCUCAGAAUAAAAAUCUAUUUUGGAGCUCCUUGGUUACUGCGUAUAAUCUUCCUCCACGACACCUUUGGAAACUCUCCUAGCAUUUUGUGAUACACCUAUUUGACGGAGUAAUUAGUUAGUUGCUGGACAUCAUUGUAGGUGUAUCCUGCCUCUUCUAGGUAAUGUCUCACCUUGAAGAUAUGUUGUACCACCCAUGAUGCACUCUUAGGAUCUAUAUUUCAAUCUUAUCUCCUUUUAAUGUAAUAUGUGUGGACCCAAAUGAUACAAAGCUUCUCCUUUAUCCUGCAUAUAUGCCACGGUAAUUUGCCUAUAGCUGUUUGGUUCCAGUAAUUAACAUAUAAUAGGUUGAGACCACCAGCUGCCCUAGGACCACAUAUUUUAUGCCAUGUAAUCAAGGAAUUUCUUGAGAACUCAGUAUUGCCUAUCCGUAGAAACCUUUCACAAACUGUCUCUAUAAACUGGAUAAGUUUUGUUUUUUUUCGUAGAAGGAUGAACACCUAAUCUUAGAAAGUUAGAAUGACAUAUAACACACUCUGAUCAGUUUUGUUCUAUCAGCAUAUGAUAGGAAUUUAGUUGUCCACGAAUUUAGGGGUUCACACUAUAAAAUCGAUGUUCUUUUGGUACUUAGGGGCACACCUGGGUACCUGAAGGGUAGCUCCCCUCUUCUAAAGCUUAAGACCUCUGUGAUCUUUCUUUGAGUAUUAUGGUAGACCCCUCCAAAGUAAACUGAGCUCUUGUUGGGAUUAGGUAUUAAUCCCGAUACUUUAUAGAAUAUUUGAAAAUUUUCAAAUAGAACCUGUACUGAUUGAACAUCUCCUCUACAGAAAAGUAGGAGGUUAGCUGCAAAGCCAAGUUGGACCAAGUUGAAUUUAGCACACCCAAGAUGAUAUCUGAAGCCAUGAUUUAAUUAAUCCGACUGUUUAAUUAAAAUAAAGCAUUGCGAUGGUCCCUGAAAAUGAUAGGUUUUUAUUUUAUUUUUUGUAACUUCCAUAAUUGUGCUACUUAGGUGGUAUUUUCAGCUUUACUUCGGAGUUACGACUUGUUUGGAUGGUUGUUAUGUAUUGUUUCAUAAUGUGUCGUAUAAUAUUGUAUUGUAUUGUACUUUAUCAUUUUGAUGUAUAUAAUGAUUGGUAGAUUGUAUUAUUUUCCAUUGUUUCAUGAUGUCAUGCACC